rnacentral:rRNA from 1 species
UGUCCAUAUCAAUAAGCGGAGGAAAAGAAACCAACAGGGAUUGCCCUAGUAACGGCGAGUGAAGCGGCAACAGCUCAAAUUUGAAAUCUGGCCCUCGGGUCCGAGUUGUAAUUUGUAGAGGAUGCUUUUGGUGCGGUACCUUCCGAGUUCCCUGGAACGGGACGCCAUAGAGGGUGAGAGCCCCGUCUGGUUGGAUACCAAUCCUCUGUAAAGCUCCUUCGACGAGUCGAGUAGUUUGGGAAUGCUGCUCUAAAUGGGAGGUAUAUGUCUUCUAAAGCUAAAUACCGGCCAGAGACCGAUAGCGCACAAGUAGAGUGAUCGAAAGAUGAAAAGCACUUUGAAAAGAGGGUUAAACAGUACGUGAAAUUGUUGAAAGGGAAGCGCUUGUGACCAGACUUGGGCACGGUUAAUCAUCCAGCGUUCUCGCUGGUGCACUUGGCCUGCCCAGGCCAGCAUCAGUUCGGUGCGGGGGAUAAAGGCUUCGGGAAUGUGGCUCUCCGGGAGUGUUAUAGCCCGUUGCGCAAUACCCUGCGCUGUAUUGUUUCGCGCUCUGCAGGAUGCGGCGAGUUCCACGCGGCA